UACGUAGGUGGCAAGCGUUGUUCGGAAUUACUGGGCGUAAAGGGCGCGUAGGCGGCCUUCUAAGUCAGACGUGAAAUCCCCCGGCUUAACCUGGGAACUGCGUCUGAUACUGGGAGGCUUGAGUAUGGGAGAGGGAUGUAGAAUUCCAGGUGUAGCGGUGAAAUGCGUAGAUAUCUGGAGGAAUACCGGUGGCGAAGGCGGCAUCCUGGACCAUAACUGACGCUGAGGCGCGAAAGCUAGGGUAGCAAACGGG
rnacentral:rRNA from 1 species